AUGUGGGAGGGACUCGAGCCGUCUCACCAUGGCAGAAGGAGAAGGCCAGCACCACUGCCCAUGAUGGCCGCAUGUCCAGCGCCACAGCACAAGAUGGCCGCCAACCCAGCAACGCUGCAGUGCAUGGCCACCAACCCCGCACCACGAGGCAAGAUGGAAGCCAGCCUCACACCACAGUACAGGAUGGCCGCCAGCUCAGCGCCACGAGGCAACAUGGCCGCCAACCCAGUACCACGAAGCAAGACGGCCGCCAGCUCAGGGCCACAGCACAAGAUGGAUAUCAACCCAGCGCCACGAGGCAAUAUGGACGCCAGCACAACGCCACAGCACAAAGUGGUCACCAGUCCAGCGCCACGGUUCAAGAUGGCUGCCAGCUCAGUGCCAACGCCCAAGAUGGCCGCUGACACAUUUCUCGAUUACUUCGAUAUACUGUCAAGGAUCCUAGAGAUUCCCAAGAUGGUUCACAUCAUGGCUGAUGAGCCAGUGCCACAGCUCAAGAUGGCCGCCAGCCCAGCGCCACAGCAUCGGGUGGUCGCCAGCCCAGCGCCACAGCAUCUGGUGGUCGCCAGCCCAGCGCCACAGCAUCGGGUGGUCGCCAGCCCAGCGCCACAGCACAAGAUGGCCACUAACCCAGCGCCAAUGCCAAAGAUGGCCACCCGUCCAGCACCACAACCGAAGAUGGCCGCCAGCCCAGUACCACAGCACAAGAUGGCCACUAACCCAGCGCCAAUGCCCAAGAUGGCCACUGGUCCAGAGCCACAGCACAAGAUGGCCCCCAGUCCAGCGCCACAGCACAAGAGUGCCGUCAGCCCAGCGCCACGGUACAAGAUGGCCACUAACCCAGCGCCAAUGCCCAAAUUGGCCACCGGUCCAGCGCCACAGCACAAGAUGCUCACCGGCCCAGCACCACAACCCAAGAGGGCUCCCUGUCCAGAGUCAUGGCCCAAGAUGGCUGCUUGCCCUGCGCCGCUGCACAGGAUGAAAGUCACAGCUGACCCUCUGGAGUCGAGUCAGGUUCCAGUGAAUGCUCCAGAGUCGAGUCAGGUUCCAGUGAACCCUCCUGUGUCGAGUCAGGUGAAGUCGAGUCGAGUUAAGUCCAAAACCUUCUUAAAGAUCUUAACAAAUCAAAUAAAAAAAAUAAUAUUAAUAAUUAUAACAGACCUUUCCAGAAGCAAUAUCUGA
rnacentral:lncRNA from 1 species